GGCGAGAGACCGAUAGCGAACAAGUACCGUGAGGGAAAGAUGAAAAGAACUUUGAAAAGAGAGUUAAACAGUACGUGAAAUUGUUGAAAGGGAAACGAUUGAAGUCAGUCAUACCAACGGGAAAUCAACCUUUUGAGUUNGUCUUGUGGGUUUCGAGGAGUUUAAAAGCCUUCUGAUUUGCUAGGAUUGGGCUCUUUUGGUGUACUUUCUCGUACGGUUAGUCAACAUCGGUUUUGAAUGUCAU
rnacentral:rRNA from 1 species